rnacentral:rRNA from 1 species
UACGUAGGGGGCAAGCGUUGUCCGGAAUCAUUGGGCGUAAAGAGCGUGUAGGCGGCUCGGUAAGUCCGCUGUGAAAGUCCAGGGCUCAACCCUGGAAUGCCGGUGGAAACUGUCGAGCUAGAAUCCGGAAGAGGCGAGUGGAAUUCCUGGUGUAGCGGUGAAACGCGCAGAUAUCAGGAGGAACACCAAUGGCGAAGGCAGCUCGCUGGGACGGUAUUGACGCUGAGACGCGAAAGCGUGGGGAGCAAACAGG